rnacentral:misc_RNA from 1 species
GUGAAUCAUCAAAUUUUUGAACGCAAAUUGCGCUUCCUGGCAUCCCGUGAAGUAUGCCUGCUUGAGGGUCAGUAGUACUAAAAAAUCGGUUUAGUUACAAAUUGUGACGUUUCCGUUGUUUGGGCUAUCUUAACGUUUUUGGUUAAGAGGCUUAAAAUUGACCUUUUGUACGCAUUGCUAAACGUUCAUAUAUUUUUUUUAUUCGUCUAUUCUUAAUGCCAAAAUCUUAUUAUAUGCGUUUACAUCGUGUGGUUUCUUGUCCAUAAAUUUUUC